CCCUUAGAUGUCCUGGGCCGCACGCGCGCUACACUGACAUGUUCAACAAGCCUCCUAGUUCGACAGGAUUUGGGAAAUCUUUGAACGCAUGUCGUGGUAGGGAUAGAUCAUUGCAAUUAUUGAUCUUGAACGAGGAAUUCCUAGUAAACGCGAGUCAUCAGCUCGCAUUGAUUACGUCCCUGCCCUUUGUACACACCGCCCGUCGCACCUACCGAUUGAAUGUUUCGGUGAAGAUUCCGGAUAGGACUUUUUUGAUUUAUUUCAAUUUUGUCUUAAAAGCUAUCUAAACCUCAACAUUUAGAGGAAGGUGAAGUCGUAACA
rnacentral:rRNA from 1 species